ACAACUGAAAUUUGAGGUACCUGAGACUUCUGGUUAUGCAUUUUAAUUAGUAGCCAUAUUCUUUAUGUGGUGUUAGCGAAAAGCCAAAAGUUUUAUUGUAUGUUGUUUAC